ensembl:lncRNA
GAGCAGGUCCCGAAGAGGUGCUAGUUCUCUGGACACGGGUCCUCCACCUGGUCUCUACUGACACAGUGACACACACACGGACAGAGGCCUUCCUGCACACGGGACAGCACGCAGACCAGCGCCCUUACAGAAACAGAUCCUCUUUUGUUGCCAGUUCAGGGAGUCCAGGUGGUUGAACAUCAGAGUGUUUCAUCUUAUUUCCCUUUGGGGUUGCGAACCCUGAGGACAAAGUGGUGGAGAGAGAAGCAGGACAGGCAGAGGUGGCUUCAACUCAUUCACAGAGGAAAAGUGUCUCUCUUCUCCAACUGCAGCACCCACUAUGAAGGACGUGACAGCAAGACAAGGUAAGAUUGACACCAAGGAUCUUGACUAGGAGGACUACAAAGCUGGGGCUCCCUUGGAGAGAUGGAGGAUGCUCCAGGGGAGGCCCAGUCUACUAGGGGAAGGAGAGGCUCUGAGGUCUCCUUUCUGUUCUGCCUUGGG